rnacentral:rRNA from 1 species
ACGCACGCUGGCGGCAUGCCUAACACAUGCAAGUCGCACGAGACCUUCGGGUCUAGUGGCGCACGGGUGCGUAACGCGUGGGAACCUGCCCUUAGGUUCGGAAUAACUCCCCGAAAGGGGUGCUAAUACCGGAUAAUGUCUUCGGACCAAAGAUUUAUCGCCUUUGGAUGGGCCCGCGUUGGAUUAGCUAGUUGGUAGGGUAAAAGCCUACCAAGGCGACGAUCCAUAGCUGGUCUGAGAGGAUGAUCAGCCACACUGGGACUGAGACACGGCCCAGACUCCUACGGGAGGCAGCAGUGGGGAAUAUUGGACAAUGGGCGAAAGCCUGAUCCAGCAAUGCCGCGUGAGUGAUGAAGGCCUUAGGGUUGUAAAGCUCUUUUACCCGGGAUGAUAAUGACAGUACCGGGAGAAUAAGCGCCGGCUAACUCCGUG